AUUCAGUAUGAUUUUAUAAAUCAUAAAUGAAUUUAAAAUUUUCAGUUCACCUGUCCUUAGUAAACUUGACAGUUGACACUGAAGAUUGGCUGCUUGAUGGACCCUUGCAGUUGAACUAUCUAAGGACUCAAUGUGGUAACAUCUUCAAACUGGAAUACGUAUCGAGCGUCGGGAUCUAGCUUAACUCUUACGUGUAGCUCGGCAACUGGCCAUCCGUUCUCUGGUUUUCUCUUCCCAAUACCUAUCCACCCACUAAAAAGAGUCAGUGGCUUUCCUUCGCGCCACUCAGGGCCUACCUGUAUUUUAAAAAUCCCAAUUUGCUGCCUUUUGAUGCCAACUCCACAAUGGGAGCCCUUCCUACCUGAGAAAAUAACAAUCUCCAAACCAGCAUGAGUAUUAUAGAAACAACAGGGAGCCAACAAUGCUUUUAGAUCAGAUUCCUCAAGGUAAAAGCUAGUAGCAACAUUCUCGACUUCAAGUAUAGCUUCGGUAGAGGAUAUCAAGGGGACUAAUUAUGUUUGAACAGGAAAACCCCGGAGCCGUAUCUCACAAACAAAAGGAGAAGGUGGCUUUUGAGUUCUAGAUCUUCCGCUGCUUCCCUCAAUUCCGGCACAUCGUAGCCCAAGAGAGCCUAUUGAUAACCUAAUGAAGGCCUGAGGAUCCAUAUUUGUCACAAUCUUCCCCCCAUUGGAUACAAACAACUACUUUCUAAGAGCUCAAUGUCUGCGAAAUAUAAAGCAGAGAAUUUGGCUUUAAACAAUUUCCAUUAGACAUGACUAUAAGUUUGAGACAUAACAGAAAGUAAAAAUUUGAUUAAUUUACAAAACUAAUUUGGCUAACAUUUACUCAUGUUACACAAAGAAAACAAACUUUACUUAGAUCUUGAGAUUCUAUUAUACAAUCAAAUUCUUGAUGACUUGGUCACGAAGGUUUAUGCGUUACGAAGGUGAAUAGUAGUUGAAGGUUAUAAGCUAUUAGAACUAAAGGAGGAAAAAGGAAAAAGACAGAUAAACAAGAGCUUUCGGUAACA